AGCACUAUAUUUAAACCAAUGGAUGGGAUUUUUCCCCGUUCUUGGUUACGCUGUAGUGCAAAAGUAUUCCUGACUCCUCUUGCACAGUUGACUUUCUUCAAUUCUGCUGCUGCGAUAAGAGUUAAGGAACAUAU